rnacentral:lncRNA from 1 species
CCUAGGUCCACGUAUCUCCGCUCGCGCUCAGGCCGCAUCCGCCUCGAAGAACGCGCGUAUCGCGGCCGCUUAACUGACACUCCUCGCAAGCAGCAACUGGUAAUCCGAUUUCCCAGGUAACGCAUCAAUUAGCGUUUAAUGCCCUUCUGGUGUUCCCCAGGCGACGCUUGGAGAAGAGGAGAAACACGAUCGCAGCUGGCCACGGAGAAACCUCGUCGGACGGCAAGCAACAGGCGCACGACCAGCGAGCGGAAUUUCCCGAGGCUCGGCCCUCGGAUGCCAGGCUAACCCGAUGAUCAUCCCGGGAGCAGACUAGCCUGAAGCCCCGACCGGUCGCCUCGGCUUGCGCCAGCCUUGGCCGACCAACGAGCGGAAUUUCCUGAGGCUCGGCCCUCGGAUGCCAGGCUAACCCGAU